rnacentral:misc_RNA from 1 species
GAUGAAGAACGCAGCGAAAUGCGAUAAGUAAUGUGAAUUGCAGAAUUCAGUGAAUCAUCGAAUCUUUGAACGCACAUUGCGCCCCUUGGUAUUCCGAGGGGCAUGCCUGUUCGAGCGUCAUUAUAACCCCUCAAGCUCAGCUUGGUGUUGGACGGUUUUGGUGGGGACGUGCAGCCUCUCACCCCUCCUAAAGACAAUGACGGCGGCGUCGUUGGGACCCCCGGUACACUGAGCUUCUUAACUGAGCACGUACUGGACGCGGGUACGCGACGCACGGUCUGCCUCCCCUUUAAGGGAGAACUUUUUCUUAAGGUUGACCUCGGAUCAGGUAGGAAUACCCGCUGAACUUAAGCAUAUCAAUAAGCGGAGGA